UACGUAGGGGGCAAGCGUUGUCCGGAUUUAUUGGGCGUAAAGAGCUCGUAGGCGGUCUGUCGCGUCUGCUGUGAAAACUCGGGGCUUAACCCCGGGCCUGCAGUGGGUACGGGCAGACUAGAGUGCGGUAGGGGAGACUGGAAUUCCUGGUGUAGCGGUGAAAUGCGCAGAUAUCAGGAGGAACACCAAUGGCGAAGGCAGCUCGCUGGGACGGUACUGACGCUGAGACGCGAAAGCGUGGGGAGCAAACAGG
rnacentral:rRNA from 1 species